GACGAACGCUGGCGGCGUGCCUAACACAUGCAAGUCGAACGGAACUGUUUUGACAGAUUUCUUCGGAAUGCAUUUGAUUUGGUUUCGUGGCGGACGGGUGAGUAACGCGUGGGUAACCUGCCUUUAAUAGGGGAAUAACUUUCUGAAAAGAAUACUUAUACCGCAUGACAUAUCGGAACCACAUGGUUUUGAUAUCUAAGAUUUUAUCGCUUGAAGAUGGACUCGCGUCCGUUUAGUUAGUUGGUGAGGUAACGGCCCACCAAGACCGCGAUCGGUAGCCGGACUGGGAGGUUGGACGGCCACAUUGGGACUGGGACACGGCCCAGACUCCUACGGGAGGCAGCAGGGGGGGAUAUUGCGCAAUGGGGGCAACGCUGACGCAGCAACGCCGCGGGAAGGAAGAAGGUUUUCAGAUUGGAAACUUCUUUUAUUAAGGACGGAAAAUGACGGUACUUAAUGAAUAAGCGCCGGCUAACUACGUG
rnacentral:rRNA from 1 species